rnacentral:lncRNA from 1 species
CUUUAGAGUCUAGGCUCCACAUCCUCCUGCCUCAGACCUCAGAUCAGAGCCUGGGCGGCACUCCAGGCCCCUGCUGGGCCUCUGCAGCGCCAGGGGGCCAUGCCCCCAACGUUACACCACCUGCAGCUGAGAAACAACGGGAAGCCUUUCCUCCACCUCUUGUCUCCGAGGGGGACACUGAGUCAGCAGGCAGACCAGUGGGGGCUGCUCCAUGCAGGGGUGUGAACAGGCGGGAGCCUGGAGAAUAGUCACGGCGGGGGGUGGGGGGUGCCACAGGGGAGGGAGCUCUCUGUUCUCAUUAGCUGGACAAGGUCGCAUUAGCCACUAUGUGUCACCUUCACGCGGAUCCCGAGGGCCAGGCAGCCCAAUUGCUUCACACCAGACGGAACAGGAUCCAGGCCGUGGAGGGCCCUUGACUGUGCCUGGCUGGAGAAUCUGAACUUGGAAGGAUGGACGGGGGUUUCGGUGAUGGAGAAGAGAAUUCAGGUGCUGGGAAAAUACAAAGAAGGUCAUGCGGGUGAGAGGGUACGAAUGUUCAUAGGAUGCCCGGGCAGCUGGUUUCAUUACAGAUGGGGAUACACACGAGCUGUGGCCAGAGGUGAGGCCUGGCUGCCAGGCCGGAGUCUCAUCGUGGGGGGUCUUAAGCGCUAUACUGAAGAAGUUGGGCUGUAGAAGACUCCGGAUGGGAAUAAAGGGAUCAGACCAGAGGAGCGAACUGGGAAGCAGCGGAAGGAAGGAUUACUCAGAGGAGGCCGCCAAGGGCAGCAGGGAGGCCAGGAAGUGAAAGCGAGAUUCCAGUUAGACCUCAGGAAGUUGUGAGCCCAGGUAGUGAGACCCGGCGGGGAGGAAACGCCCUGAGAGACAAAAAAGUCCGCCUUUGUCAAAAAGUAGGCCAGCUCCCCUUCCUGCCUAGACACACAUCUCAUCCAAACCCACACAGACGCCCUGAGGAGGUGAGAACCCGCUUCCCGCCCUCCCCUCUCAGCUGUCGGGCCAGCCCCCACCCAUCUCUGUUCCCCUGAUCCCUUUCUGGACAGCGGCCAGAGGCAUUUGCUCUCAGGACAGAAAGAGUCACGAGGGGGUUAUUUAUAUGUGCAGCAGACCUGAGCCCUCUUCUGGAGGGCACGUGCCCGGGAGGGAGCCGGCCACAGCUCCUCUCCCAGGCAAAAGCCUCGCUGGCGCCCACUGCCUGCAAGAGAUCCUGCUGAUGGAACCUGGGCCAAGAGGCCAGCCAGUCCGUCCUCCAGUCUCCAGCGAGGCUGUUGGCAAACACACCCCUGCGGUUGGACAGAAGAGACCACUCAGUGCAGAUUCUCCUCCUGUCGUAUUUAAUUAUUUCCAUAGGCCCUCAAGUUCUUUAUACCCAACCUAAAUGUCUUACUGCAAUGCGAAGUCUCCCUGCUUCAUGUUCUGUGUUUGGGGGAGGCGGCGAACUCGCCAAAACCUUGCACAGGGAAGUGUGGGGCAGGUGAUCCGCCAGGUAGGAAGUAUAUCCAUUGAAUCAUGGGGCUUGGUUCAAGAGAUCGAAUGGCAAGGACUAACUCUGGAUAUAAGCGCAUUUAUCUUGCAGUUGCUAAAUAACUCAGAAUGACAGAGAAGCCUGGGUUGGCUCAGGGCGCUGGUGACACAUCUUCAAUUUUUUUUCCCUUUCCCCCAGAGCUCAAGGCUGACAGGGAAGCCUGAUGGAUAUAAAUGUCCUGCUCCCACAGGAAGAAACAAAAGACAACAAAAACAAAUUCCCCUGCGUCUAAGAAAUUUUCAUCCCUUUAAGGCCUCAAACCCGGAACAGCCUCCUCUUCCUCAGCAGAGAUGACCGGAAACACAUCACUGUUGUAUCAGGCUGGCAUUUCUUUUCCCGCUGUUCUCUGGCCACUCCACCAGACGUGGAAGGCAACCAACGUGGUGGGCCUGGCAGUAGUCGAAUUCGUGCGGGUAUUAUUACUUGAGUCUUCACCGCUCUGCAACUGGCAGGUAUUAGCCCCAUCUCACAGAUAAAGCAGCCAAGACUCACAAAGAUGCUAUGAGAAGAAACAGGCUCAGAGCAUAGCCGGGGGGCUGACAUGGGGCGUGGGACCGUGGAGGGAGCUCUGUGUUCCCAUUAAGAGGCCAUGGUAACUUUAGCCACCAGUUGUCCACAUCCAGGCCAACCCUGGGGGUCAGGCAGCAGGACCGCACACAAGACUGCAUUUCUGCUGACCACUGAGGGAGACAGAGCGUCCUAUCUGGUUGGGUCCCUGCUGGGUCUGGAGAGACAGAUGCAUUUUUCAACGUGGUGCAGCUGCGGGUCAGGGGAGACUGCAUUGUGAUUAAAGCGACUUGCCUGUGACAGGGUUUGGGGGCGCUUUCCUUCCCCUCAAGCAUGGAGCACUGAAGCGGGAGGCUGAGACUGCUGUCAGGAGUUUAGGGGGAUGGAAGGAAAGGCUGAGUGAACUGAGAAGACGGCUGGAGACCAAAGGAGCUUCCCCACGGCCACACAGGAGACGGCAGUCACCCUGACUGCCGUGUCCUGUCCAAAUGCAUUCCGCUCCCCUCUCCCUGGAGAAAAGGAUCAACCACCGAGGAAGCUCAGGCUCCCUUGGCAUAAUCAAGGCCAGGUGGCUGUCCCACAGCCUUCUCUGCCACCGUCUGUGCAAAAAAAAAAAAAAAAAAAAAAAAGGAGCAGCAUGGCCGUGAACCCAGGGAGCCUGUCCAUUGUUGUAUUGCUAGCUCCUGAGAGUCGGUAUGUAUUCAACAACAUCUGAUAAAUACAUUUUAAACGGGCAUCUGUUUUCAAAAUGGUUGGUGUCCGUUUUGGCUGUGCCUUUUGCAGAGAUCUGGGAAUGCUGUCCCAGACGAUACACUCCAGCUCAGACAUGUGGACAGAUGUUGCUGGCUGAGCUGCAGUGCCCGGGAUGUCGGCUGAGCGACCCUGGUCAGCUGCACGGGAGGCGGUGCUGGGGACAGACCUGCGGGCCCUCUCCUGUGUCGAGGGCCCUCAAGGAGAUGCACGUCCUCCCUGAGAGAGACAAUUCCAGGCUAAGAGGCUCCUGAUCAUCCUGGGGGACCCUGUAACAACGACGGAGGCUAGAUCCGAUCUCGCUUAACUGAUUCUGUGAUUACAGUUAUUUCUCCCUAAUGCUCAGACACCUCAGAAUGGGACACUGAGGGGUUCACGUCUGCCAACGGCCAGGCCAGAAACAGCAGUCGUUUCUGCAACAUGAGACCGUGUUUAAUUCCGAGUGUAAGCUCCCAUCUUCUCCAGACUAAAUACUGACUUUACACUUUAGGUGUAUCUUUUUUUCCAAAUGCUCUUUGGCGCCUCUCUGGCUUUCAAGUGGUAAGCACCCAACUGUCUCUGAUGAAGUCAAAAGGAGGCUCUCUGAGGAGGAAGGGACACUGCAGUCCAAGGCUGCAACGGGAGAGGAUGCCAAAUGAUGGCCGGUUUUCUAAUUACCUAAGAGCCUGUCCUGUGACAUAUUAGCGGAGGUGCUAUUAGAAUUUCAGAAAUGGCAUCUUUUGUGUUCUGUAAACGGCUUUAAUGGAGCCCUCUCCAUGUCCUCUAAAAGAGAGCUCACCUGCUCAGCUGCACAGGGGAGGGGGCUGCAGGGAGGUGGCAAAAUGAGACUACAAGCUGCUCAGGAGCUCUGUCAGUUUCCUUCCUCCUUUGCUUUCAUCUGCUUCUCCUGUCGUGUGUGUGCAUGUGCGCGUGUGACCCUCCUAAUCACAGGAUGUCUGCCUUUACUGGGGUGGGGAGGCAAUGGUGGGAGACACGAGUGCCAGCGAUUCACCACCACGGUGCUCAUCGCCUCAGGGUGAGAUGACACAGAAACAGCAUCUUUGGCCUGGCUGCUUCCAACCGGGGGGCGGGGGUGGGGGUGGGGGUGGAAAUUGAGGCAGCCCCGCCUUUCACGUCCACAGUCUUGGAAACAGGAGGAGGAAACAUUAACACCUUCUCAUAAUUCCUCCAUCUAACUCAGUUCUAUUUGAGGUGCACGGUCCUCUAUUCUAUCAAAAGACAAACAAGCUUCAUCAAAAUCCACAAAAUCUCCCAAGAAAACUAAAAGGUGACGUAGAGAAUAUUUCUCCUCUGCUGACAAUCUGAUUUUCUUUAACUCCUUCGGACUUUUGAGGGUAUCGGGUGGAUGUUCAUCUUCCUGAUUGUUCUAUUUCAUUUGGCAUCAUCUCACUUUUAUAUUUCUACUAAAGAAAUUAUCUGGAAACAACAAUAAAAAUAAUUCUGGCCCCAGCCUGCCAGCAAAGGAUCACAAAAGCCAGACCUGUAGUCAUGAUAUAUAAGGAAGACAAUCUCCAAACUCAUCUCAUCAGAUCUCAAUUUUUAGCCAGACCUAAAAAAUAAGCAAAGAGGACAAUUACUGCACACCAAACCUGGCUGGGCAGGAGACAACUGUGCAGGGAGGUCAGCAAGAGAGCAGGAAGAUACAGGAAAAGAGAGUGACCAGAAAAUGUUUUGUCAACUGCAGUAGAUUUGGAAAAAAAAAAAAAAAAAAAAAAGGAAAUUUAGAACAUUAAUAAUUAAAAAUUAAAUUGUUCAUAGGAUGAGUACUUUAGACCGGAAGAUGCCAAAGGACAGUGGCCUAACACAGUCAAGCCAAUAGAACACAGAGAACCUGUGGAAAGUUUUUGCGUCCUUGGGCAGGAGAUGAAAAAGGCCACAACCUCCUGGAGUGCUGUUGGUAGGGGCUCUAAGCCAAUUCACCAGACGUUCGGCCUUCUCAGUACAUCCCGUCAUACUUUUAAUGCGGGUGACAGAUAAAGGCUUAAUCCAAGGGUGCAUCACACAAAGAACAGGCCCGGGUGGUUGAGCAACACAGGACUGGAUUAUCAGCAGCAAAGCAAACACAAUGCCUUCCUCGCCACCUCCACUCUUCCAAGUGAAAAGUUUGGUGUGCCAAAGCAUUCCGAUGCAGACACAUCCAGAAACCUACUCAAGGACUAUCUGGGUCCUAAGGCGGUGGGGACCCUUAUUUCUUCAUUUCUUACUCUGGCACUGUCCCAUUCUAUAGGCAGUUGCCACAUGAGGCUAUUUAAGUUUAACUGAAUGACAAGUAGUAAGAUUCAGUUACACGACGAUUAUCUUCGAUACUCCACAGCUCCGUGGAGCUAGGGGCUGUAUUGUGUAGGGCAGACUUAGAAUAUCUCCAUCAUCACAGAAAGUUCUGUUGGACAGCGCUGCAGAUACUCUGCACACCAGGUUGCAGGGCCCUCUUAUUCUCAAUAUCUGCAGCCAGAUACUGGCACAGAAAGAUUAAGCGAACUAUCCAAGGAUUCACGGCAAGUGAGUCCCAUAAAUAGAACUUAAGUGGACACCUCUGGGACCCUAGACUGAGGAUCUUGUUUGUUCUUCCUGAACCCUAUCUCAAUGCGAAACAUGACCAAGAGCCUCCAGUUGCAAAAGACCUGCUACGUGGUUGGUCUGACCAGAAAGGUCACAUUACGAGAUCUCUUAGUUAUGUCAGACUAUAAUAGACCUUUAAUCUCUAGUUCGUAAAUAUACUAUUGCCAUCACCUCUGAGGACAAUCAGUAUUUUCGUGAUGUUCUUUGUACAUCUGUCUUCAAAAAAAUAUGUAUAUUUUUGGUUGCACCCAUGGCAUGGCUAAGUUCCCUGGCCAGGGGUUGAACCUGCACCACCACAGCCACCUAAACCACAGCAGUGACAAUGCUGCAUGCUUAACUUGCUAGGCCACCAGGGAAUUCCUGUCUUUAAAGACUUCAGUUAAAUAGUGUUUAAAGUACUGCGGUGGACAGAAAUUUGUUCAGCUCAACAUUAAGUGAUGUUCUUACUUAACGUACCCAAAUUGAGUAUGAGAAAGACAGCUUAUACGUGUUUCUAGCAAAGAAAAGGUAACUUCUAUUAAAGUUAAAUAAAUAUAAUGCUAAGAUUAAGAAUUCAUCUAACACUGUGACAGACAGUAUUAGCGAGGAUAAUGACAGUAAUACUAGUAAGAGCGAACACUUAGGUUUUUCUGCUUACUACGUGCCCUUCUAAGUGCUUUAUACAUGUAUUAAUCCUUUGUCAAUUCACUUAAUCCUCACACCUAACCUGUGACGUGCUAUCAUGCAUCCUGAUUUUGAAAAUCAGGAAACUGAGGCAUGGAGAGAUUACAUAGCUUGUCUAAGGUCACAAAGUUAGGAAGACUUAGGGUUUGGAACUGGACUGUAAGGCUCUAGAAGUUUGGGCUCUCAGCUGCCAGGAUGUCCCUUAAAGUCCCCCGAACACAGAAAAAUCAGUCCUGUCUUCCUGGAAUUGAUCAGCCAGUGGCCGGGACUGCCCGUGUUUCUGAAGUCGGGGAAGAUGUGCAUCAUUAGCAGGUGUACCUUUCUUUCCUGCACGGUUCCUUGAGUGUAUGUCCUUUCUCGUCAUUCAUUAAUGCAGUGCUGAAAUCAUAAACACAGCUCCCCCCACUCAAAUAACUGUUUCAUCGUCGGUGCCCAAAACACAGCAGGUAUUGUAUCAAACACAAAAUCUGAGAGUUCUAAUUCUGGAGCUAAGGGAUAUACUUAAGUAAAAUAGCCUUUUUUUGCUUCACAGAGUUACUUUUUACUCCAAACUACAUGGAUUUGUUUUUAUGUUAAUAAUUCCUUUCCUCCUUGUGCCAGGGACCCUACAGUGCACGUAAGAGUUGCUAACUACAGCUACCAAAAGCCUUGCCUUUCAAGAACAUAAAACAGGGGAAGGUCUCAAAGGGUAUUGGUAGUUGACAAAAUUUGCUUCUUUUCUGGAGAAUUCUGCCUUGUAACAGUACGAGAAAUCUGAAAUUAACACUGUAAAAUUUCAUUCCGGAAAUAGCCACUUUAAAAACAAGAUUUUUCCCAAUUUAUGAAAGAAUCUUUUUUCCCUUUUUGUCUUUACUCUUUCAGUCACCUGACUACAAAAACUCUAGCUUCGAGUCAGGAGGUCCCAUCAAAUCCAGACCUUUCAUGGACAAGGAAACGGAAGUCUAAAGAGAUGAAGGGACGUGUCAGGUCACAGCACUACAUCCUCAGAGCCCAGGCGGAACCUAGGCUUUCAGGUUCAGCUGGUUCCACACCUGGUGGGGGGGCAAGGGGUCCUGCACACGUGCCCCACGCCACCCUGGCAGUUCUCCCUGAGGCUCUCGUUCCCAGAUGCUGUCACACUGUGUGCGCUGAGCACAUCGGGACUGCGUCUAAGGACGUCGUUCACAGUGGACGCUGAAGGUUCACACACACUUUGUGGCCAUGUCCCUGCCACUGGCGGUAGAAGUGCUGUG